rnacentral:rRNA from 1 species
GAAGAGUGGCGAACGGGUGAGGAACACGUAAGAAUCUACCUUUCGGUUGGGGAUAACACGGGGAAACCUGUGCUAAUACCGAAUAUUGAAACAUAAGUGGCAUCACUGAGUUUUGAAAGAAUUUCGGUGGAGGAUGACUUCGCGGCCUAUCAGCUAGUUGGUGAGGUAAUGGCUCACCAAGGCAACGACGGGUAGCCGGCCUGAGAGGGCGACCGGCCACACUGGGACUGAGACACGGCCCAAACUCC